UGGUCUUGACGUCCUGCGAUUGAAGUCUGGACGGCAAACGCGGAGCGGGGCCUAGCACCUGGACUGGAUUCCGUGCCGUGACCCGUGACAUCCGAGCGCGUCUCCGGAAGGGAGCCGGUGGCUGCGGACGGGAAGGCUGGGAUCCCUGUGCCUCAGGGAGCCCAAAUUCUCAUCUCACUUCCCUGAAUCCCAGCAGGCAUCCUCCAAGACCCUUUGGGAAUGAGCAGUGCCCAUAAGCUCGAUGUACUUAAAACCAUAUUGAGUUGUUAGGAACUGGAUUGAGAUGUAGAGAAAGAAAAGCUCGGGGAGGGGCCUGAGGUCGAGCUUUUGAAGGCCGAAGAAACGCCCAUUCCGUGAGCUGAGACUCUUGGUGUGGCCUCGGUUCUGGAGAGCCCCAGGCCCUAUCAGGCCCAGAAAUUUACAGCCUGGGGCGUGGUGGGGCAGGGAGAGGCCACCCAGCUGAACCCCUUUUGCGUCCUAAAAAGCGCAGCAGGAGGCCUCUCAGUAUUUAUCUCUGCCUGUUGGCUAAAGUGCACCCAGAUGUGGCCUGCCUGACGGGUAAUGCAGGGCCCGUGGCUUCUAUGAUUGUUUUAUACUCAAACAUUUUAAAAUUCGAUUGACGAUCUCCCUCCUAUGACGGCAUCGCGAGCCCCGGCCUUUCUCACCGCUGGCAGCUACCCCGGGAACAGACCAGCUAUGCGACUCAAAGGUCUACGGUUAUUCGUGAGAGAAUUCCCAGAUGUGUGUUUCCAGUUGUCUCCAUCUUUUUUGCGACCCUGAGUUCCCACAGACUUAUCUUCAGGGCCCUCCUUUCCCCAUCGGCUUUGCCUCAAGGUCAUGGUGCCUAAACACUUGGGUAUAAACAUCCCAUUCACCCCAAGACUACUAGGAUAUCUGUUCCGGCUUUUCGGAGUUUCUCGGGCAUAAACUAUAAUAACUAUACGUAUAUAUUUUUCUGGUUUUUUUAUUUCACAGAAGAUCUUUGGUUCCGAGUGGUUGUCUGUCCUUAUGGAGAAAGUAAAAAAGUUAUCCAUAUGAUUUGUUCAAUUUUCACGCCUUCUAGAGUUUGAAAUCUGCCUGUGAAAAUACAGCCUUUGUUUUGAGAACAUUGUAAAGAAGACAUCGUCAAAGCUGAAAAUUCUUCUUGCUUAAGCUUGACACCCUGCAUUUUAAAAUGUAGAGCUCAGUUGCCACCAACAUGUGAACAUUUCCAACCUCUACUUUCUUUUUUAAGAUGUUCAAAAUCCCAAAUAAAAAAUUAGGUGAUAUACAAAUGGCCAGUAAGCGCAUGAAAAGAUAUUUAGCAUCACUAGUAAUUAGGGAAAUGCAAAUCAAAACCAUAAUAAGGUACCGCUUUAUGUCCACUUGGAUGGCUAUUAUGGACAAAACAGGAAAAAACAAUUGUGGAUGAAGAUGUGGAGAAAUGCAAACUUGUGUGCUGCUGGUCGGAAAGUAAAAUGGUAUAGCCACUGUGGAAAGCAUUCUGGCAGUACCUCCAAAAGUUAAACAAAAUUGCCAUGUGAUCCAGCAAUUCCAUUGCUGAAUAUGUGCCCAAAAAAUGGAAAGUUGAGACUCAAAUGGAUAUAUCUGCCCCCAUGUUCAUAGCAACUUUAUUCACAACAGCCACAAGGUGGAAACAACCCAUGUAUCUAUCAAAAGCCAGAUGUGGUGGUGCACAUCUGUAAUCCCAGCACUCAAGAGGCUGAGGCAGGAUUGCUGUGAGUUCAAGGACUACCUGGGCUACUUGGUGUUUAGUGAUGAGCUGUCAUUCUAAUCUUUAAACAGGAGAAAGGAAAUCCUACGAAUUAAAUGUGUUGUCAGAAGCUGGUUUAAAAAAAGAAAAGAUGGAAGCCAGGCACAGUGGCACAAGACUUAAUCCCAGCUAUUUGGGAGGCUGAAACAGGAAGACUGACUUCAAGUCCACCAUGGGGAACGUGAUGAGACACCUUUCUCAAAAAUAGAAAGACAAGGACUGGCAUAGUGUGGUGGAUUAUAAGGCUCUUCAGGAUCAAUUUUGGAACAAUAACAAAAAGUCAUGAUAAUAAAGCAGAAAGUAAAUGA